CCCCUUAGGGUUCGUAGCAAUACGAGCGGUAGCGGAGCGUUCUGUAAGCUGAUGAAGCCAUACCCGUGAGGGGUGGUGGAGGUAUCAGAAGUGCGAAUGCUGACAUGAGUAACGUAAGGGGAGUGAGAGACUCCCCCGCCGAAAGACCAAGGGUUCCUGCUUAAAGCUAAUCUGAGCAGGGUUAGCCGGCCCCUAAGACGAGGCGGAAACGCGUAGUCGAUGGGAACCACGUUAAUAUUCGUGGGCCUGGAGGUAGUGACGGAUCAUUGAGGUAGUCCAAUCUUAUCGGAUUGAACGGGCUGCUGCGUGGUUCCAGGAAAUAGCUCCUCCUUAUAGACCGUACCCGAAACCGACACUGGUGGUCUGGUAGAGUAUACCAAGGCGCUUGAGAGAACUAUGCUGAAGGAACUCGGCAAAUUGCACGCGUAACUUCGGAAGAAGCGUGACCCUUUUCUACGCAAGUAGAGGAGGGUGGCACAGACCAGGGGGUAGCGACUGUUUAUCAAAAACACAGGGCUCUGCGAAGUCGCAAGACGACGUAUAGGGUCUGACGCCUGCCCGGUGCUGGAAGGUUAAGAGGAGGGGUGCAAGCUCUGAAUCGAAGCCCCAGUAAACGGCGGCCGUAACUAUAACGGUCCUAGCGAAAUUCCUUGUCGGGUAAGUUCCGACCUGCACGAAUGGCGUAACGACUUCCCCGCUGUCUCCAGCAUAGACUCAGUGAAAUUGAAUUCCCCGUGAAGAUGCGGGGUUCCUGCGGUUAGACGGAAAGACCCCGUGCACCUUUACUAUAGCUUUACAUUGGCAUUCGUAGUGGCAUGUGUAGGAUAGGUGGUAGGCUUUGAAGCCUGGGCGCCAGCUCAGGUGGAGCCAUCCUUGAAAUACCACCCUUAUCACUAUGGAUGUCUAACCGCGGCCCGUUAUCCGGGUCCGGGACAAUGUAUGGUGGGUAGUUUGACUGGGGCGGUCGCCUCCUAAAGAGUAACGGAGGCGCGCGAUGGUGGGCUCAGAACGGUCGGAAAUCGUUCGCUGAGUGCAAUGGCAUAAGCCUGCCUGACUGCGAGACUGACAAGUCGAGCAGAGACGAAAGUCGGUCAUAGUGAUCCGGUGGUCCCGCGUGGAAGGGCCAUCGCUCAACGGAUAAAAGGUACGCCGGGGAUAACAGGCUGAUGACCCCCAAGAGUCCAUAUCGACGGGGUUGUUUGGCACCUCGAUGUCGACUCAUCGCAUCCUGGGGCUGGAGCAGGUCCCAAGGGUAUGGCUGUUCGCCAUUUAAAGCGGUACGUGAGUUGGGUUCAGAACGUCGUGAGACAGUUCGGUCCCUAUCUGCCGUGGGUGAAGGAAUAUUGAAAGGAUCUGUCCCUAGUACGAGAGGACCGGGAUGGACGGAUCUCUGGUGGACCUGUUGUGGCGCCAGCCGCAUAGCAGGGUAGCUAUAUCCGGACGGGAUAACCGCUGAAGGCAUCUAAGCGGGAAACCCACCUUAAAACGAGUAUUCCCUGAGAACCGUGGAAGACGACCACGUUGAUAGGCCGGGUGUGGAAGAGCGGCAACGCUUGAAGCUUACCGGUACUAAUAGUUCGA
rnacentral:rRNA from 1 species